rnacentral:lncRNA from 12 species
CUCACAUCUGGCCUCUGGACUCCCAUCUUCAGCCAAGGAUGAAUCAGGUGAGGUGACAUUUGGCUGUCCUCUCUCAGCUCUAGCAUUUCCAACCAGUAUUUUUUUUCUUUCUUUCUUUGAAUCACUCUGAUAGUCUUCCAGAACUGGGGACCUGCCAUUCAUUUAUUGAUUCCCUUGAUGUAUGUGAUACAGUUACUCUUCCAAUCAUUAGUAUGCAAAAAAGGCUUGAGGAAGUCAUCCAUGGCUGGACAUCAGGCAGCUGGGACUGAUACAUCACUCAGCAGUCCAGGAAAAAGAAGUUCCCACCAUGGAACCCAAGAAAUCCCAACAUCUGCAGUCAGCAAGCUGGAGACCCAGGAGAGCUGUCUAAAGGCCUGAGCACCAGGAGAUUCGAUGGUGUAAAUUCCAGAUCAAGCCUAAAUCUGAACACAAGACGAGACUGCAGGAGUCCCAGCUCAAAGAUGUGCAAAGAAAGUGAGUUCUACUGUCUCAGCUUUUUUGUUCUAUUCAGGCUUUAAAGGGAUUAAAUGAGACCCACCCAGACUAUGGACAAUCUGCUUACUCAGUCCACAGAUUCAAAUGCUGAUCUACCAUAAACACCCUCAAAGACACACCUAGAAUAAUGUUUAACCAAAUAUCAGGGGACAUCUUAUGGUCUAAUCAAAACAAAAUUAAUCAUCACAAUGUCCCAAUUUUGUUCCCAGAAAACAUGUUCAAUAAUGCUAAGUAAUGUGUCUAAUGUGUUUUAAAGGCAGACUCUUCUAAAACUACACCAUACCAUAUAAGCAUGUUAGUAUUUGAGUCAGCAGUAAGGCAGUGAACAUGGUAGAAAAAAGCAACCUUUAGGGUCAUGCAACACGGGGCUCAAAUCCUGGGUACUUUUCACCCUCUUGGCCUUGGGGAAAUGUUCUACUGUUUUAGAACCUCUGUUUUCAUAUCUAUAAAAUAGAGAUGAUCAAGGGCUAUAUUCAAAAUAUUUAACAACUAGUCAGUACACAUACCACCCAUUAAAAGAGAAGUCGGCCCACCAGGGAUGUGCCGGUAUGCACCAUUUGCAUAUCCACCCUGGAGACUAUGGCACCCAUUUCAUGAGAGAGACAUGGUACAGAAACUGGCCCAUGGAGAUGUCCACAUUGCCCAAACAGUCAGCAGCUUGUAUUUUGUCUUUUCAUGCCCUUAGAAAAGAUGUUGUGUUUGCUUUCCAGUCAGGCAGGUAAGGUUCCCCCAUCCUUGCAUCUUCGUUGAAGUUGCAGAGCAGGCUCUGAAGGAUUGCUUUUGGUCUACAGAGUCACAGAAAAAUUGGGGCAGGAGCCAUACUGGCCAGAGAGAACUUAGUUUUAGAGGCAGCAAACAGAAUUUCUUCUGAGCAUUUUGGCAG